AUAUAUUCAGGAUGAAAGAUUGAAAAGAUCGAAAAGAAAGAAACUUUUGAAUGGAAGAGUAGUCAGUCGUGCCACAUAUACCGUGCUUUUUUGUUGUUGU
rnacentral:ribozyme from 1 species